UUACGAUCAUUGCUAUGUCUCUUGCAGGUCGUGGAAGACGUAGAGAAGUUUGUAGUUUGAAGCCGAAAGCGGGAACUUGCCAUGGUUUUCGUCCGUCGUGGUAUUAUGACGUUGAGCACGACCAGUGCCGUGGCUUCAUUUACAGCGGUUGUAAUGGGAACUUCAAUAGAUUCUCAAGCUGUGAUAAGUGUAUGAGAAGAUGCAGUGGCAAAUCGCAAGCAAAAAAGAUAUGCCGAAGACGCACAGCCGCAUUUCGCAAGAGAUACAACUUGGGGCUUCAGCCAAACACCAAUGUUUCAUUGGGAACAUUAGCAGGAAUAUUCCUUGGAUAACGGGAUGCAUCAGGAAAUAAACUUGAAAGGUAUUGCAGUGA